UCUGGCUGCGACAUCUGUCACCCCACUGAUCGCCAGGGUUGAGUCCACUGAUCUGGCUGGCUAGGCUGCUGUCCUCU
rnacentral:snRNA from 1 species